rnacentral:rRNA from 1 species
AGCGAACGCUGGCGGCAUGCCUAACACAUGCAAGUCGAACGAGACCUUCGGGUCUAGUGGCGCACGGGUGCGUAACGCGUGGGAACCUGCCCUUAGGUUCGGAAUAACUCCCCGAAAGGGGUGCUAAUACCGGAUAAUGUCUUCGGACCAAAGAUUUAUCGCCUUUGGAUGGGCCCGCGUUGGAUUAGCUAGUUGGUAGGGUAAAAGCCUACCAAGGCGACGCUCCAUAGCUGGUCUGAGAGGAUGAUCAGCCACACUGGGACUGAGACACGGCCCAGACUCCUACGGGAGGCAGCAGUGGGGAAUAUUGGACAAUGGGCGAAAGCCUGAUCCAGCAAUGCCGCGUGAGUGAUGAAGGCCUUAGGGUUGUAAAGCUCUUUUACCCGGGAUGAUAAUGACAGUACCGGGAGAAUAAGCUCCGGCUAACUCCGUG